CACUAUAAGAAAAGCUACUUUUGCCGGCGCAGUUGACCAAUUGCGCCGGCAAAAGUUGUCGGCAUUAAUGAGAUGCUGAAUUUGGGAUUGGAUUCAGCUAUACCUUUUACCGGCGCAAUGAAAUGCGCCGGUAAAAGAUGAAUACUGAACCGCCAAAUGGCGCAAACACAUGUCCAAUUCUGUAAGGCUUUUACCGGCGCACAAUGGCGCCGGUAAAAGUUUCCCAAAUUUUGGUGGGAAUGUUAACCGCCCUCGUGAAAAUUUGGGGGGAAAUAAAACUCGUGGUAGGUGGGGUUACUUUUACCGGCGCAUUACUGCGCCGGUAAAAGUGUUAAGCCAAACGGUGCGUUUGGUUUUAGGGUUAUAUGACCACUUUUACCGGCGCAAUUCAAUGCGCCGGUAAAAGUGUUCAUAUAUCCCCUUCGACGAGCAGAGGCCAUUUCUGCAUUUUUUUUUCAGAAAAUUUUUUUUUUCUCUCAAAAAAUUUCCCCUUCAUCUCCUUCAUCCCUCUCUUUCAAUCUCACUCAUUCUCACUCAAUCUCACUUCUCUAUCAAUCUCACUCAAAAUCCCACUCAUUUCUCUAAAAAAAUUUGUUUUUUUUUUUGGAAAAAAAUCCCCACCGCCGGCAGCCACUCACCACCGUCCGUCGGGCACCACCACCGGCCGCAGUAGCCUCCACCGCACACCCCGAAGCCCCACCUCCUGGUCCCGUUGACCGGCCCGAAGCACCGCCUCCUGCUUGUUGUUGUCAUUUUUGGACUGCUUCAGGUUUGUUUUUUUUUUCUUUAUAUUAGUAAUUAAUUUAAUAGUUUUGUUAUAAGUUAGUAUGCCUAUACAUGUUAGUGAAGUAGGUUCUGUGAUAAAAUACUGCAGUCUGAUCGGUGGUGUGAUUUAUUGUUUUUCAUAUGUUGUUAUCGAAAGUUUGUUUGUGCUAUAUUGAUAGGUUUUGAAAAUUUUGGGUUUACGCUUUUUAAGCCGUUAUGCUGCCCAAAUUUUGGUAGAUAGUUAUGUAAUGUAAUUUUUAAUUUAAAUAAAUUAAAUAAAAAUUUGUAAAAUAAUGUAUAUCAUAAAAUGUCAAAAGUAUUCCAAAAAAUGUAUUUGAAAUUUUUAAACUUUAUAAUAUUCAAUUUAAAUAAAUAAAAUAGAAAAAUAUAAAUUAGUAUAUAUUAAAAAAUAUAAUAAGUAAUCAAAAUAUUUGUUUUAGUAAUCUUUAAUUUAAAUUAAUAUAUAUUAUAAAAUAUAAUAGGUAAUCAAAAUUUAU